GACGAACGCUGGCGGCGUGCUUAACACAUGCAAGUCGAACGGAAAGGCUCCAGCUUGCUGGAGUACUCGAGUGGCGAACGGGUGAGUAACACGUGGGUGAUCUGCCCUGCACUUCGGGAUAAGCCUGGGAAACUGGGUCUAAUACCGGAUAGGACCGCACUUUGGUGUGUGUGGUGGAAAGGUUUUUCUGGUGUGGGAUGAGCUCGCGGCCUAUCAGUUUGUUGGUGGGGUAAUGGCCUACCAAGACGGCGACGGGUAGCCGGCCUGAGAGGGUGGACGGUCACAUAGGGACUGAGAUACGGCCCAGACUCCUACGGGAGGCAGCAGUGGGGAAUAUUGCACAAUGGGGGAAACCCUGAUGCAGCGACGCCGCGUGGGGGAUGAAGGCCUUCGGGUUGUAAACUCCUUUCGCUAGGGACGAAGCUUUUUGUGACGGUACCUGGAGAAGAAGCACCGGCUAACUACGUG
rnacentral:rRNA from 1 species